GAGUGGUUGUGCACAGCAGCCUCCUGCUGCGACUCCAAGCUGCUGGGGCAGAGGAUCGAUCCAAGCUGCACUGGAGGAAGCCAGUUGACCAUGGGGACUGAAGGAGACCACUCGCUGCGACCAGCAAAGGAGCUGCCAGAGACAGAGGAAAGGUAACAUCUAAAGCUCACAAUGGAGACUCGAGCCCUGCUGUGCUUCGUACUGUGCUUUGCUUGUCUUUCUGUACAUGGUGAGAGUGUAUAUUGAUAUUUCUGUCUUGACAAGAGGAAGUUGCAUGGCUACAGCAGGGAGCACAGCUCAAACAGCUUAAGACUUUCUCCUCAAAUCCAAUUUUACAAGCUAGGCAUGACUUAAAACUCUGAUGGUGAACACAUCGGGCUCUCUCUUAGGAGCAGGACUUCUGCAACAUGGUGUUAUACAUCACAACUUGACAUAUGAGCCAGCAGCCCUCAUUCCUCCUCACUAGCACAUGGAUUCAGACUACCUAAAAGCACUUUGAAGUCUGCAAGCAUUUUGUAUAAUUUAUGGCUAUUGGUGUAUGGAUGGGUAUAAACUUGCGUUGCUUGACAGUGAUGUUCUUCCACUACAUAAAGAAGAAAUAGCUCUUUUAAAGCAUUAUUAUUGUGUAAUUCGAAGGCCAGAUUCUCAGUUGGUGUAAACUGGCAUCGAUUUCAAUGGAGUGACGUCAAUUUAGACAAGCUAAGCAUCUGGCCCAGAGUCUAAGUUUGGAUUUUAUGAGUAAGGCUAUGAUUUAGUCACAGGUAUUUUUAGUAAAAGUCAUGGACAAUAAGCAAAUAUUCACGGCCGGUGACCUGUCCAUGACUUUUACUAAAAAUACCUGUGACUAAAUCUUUGGGGGUGGAGAGGGUGCUGGCAAGGCAUGGGGGAGCUGCUGCUGGCUGUGGGGAGGCGCUCCAGUCGGCCGCCCAGAGACUACUGCUGGAGCUGCCGGAGCAGUAGCUGGUGUGGCUGCCUCCAGGGUCACUCCAGCAGCGGUUGGUGUGGCUGUCCCGGGGGCCACCUAAGCAACUGGCCCUGGAGCCAUCUGCGUGAGCAGCCCUGGGUUCAGCUACACUGGUCCUUACAGAAGUCACGGAGGUUGUGGGAAGUCACGGAGCCCUAGUUAUAAGCUAGAACUAGCAGUAUACAGUGGUGUGUGCAUAAAAAGGAUUAACUGGGAUUUUAAGAACUGGUCAUUUUGUUUAUUUGAAUAAACAACUAAUUCCACAUUAUUCUGACUUCCACGUAAGCCUGUAAAUUCUCGCCCCAAAGUAGGACUGUAACACCUUGACAUCAAAAACCUCAUGUUCUCUUCUAGUAUACAGAAGGUUUAUUUGAUGAAGACAUCUGGAUAUGUACAAAAUAUAAAGGUACAAUAUAGAAUAGGCUCAUCUAUGCUAGGAAAAUGGCCAUUUGUUGACAAUAGUUGUCAACAACAGUUCAUCCCAUGACAAAAUCUGGUGAUUAAAAAUGAUACAGAGGGAUCCAUUGCUGAGAACCAUUAUCAGCAAUAGUCAGUUUCCUAAUGUAACAGAUCCUGCAGAACC